UACCGACACACACUACCUCUAUGCAUCCCCAGAAUAGCAUGGGUGUAUGAGCCAAACGGGGCCAGGGUAGCAGUUUUGCAUUGUUUCGAAACAGGUGAUUUCAGCCCCCUGGGCCUGAGCAGGAAGGGGUAGCCCAGGGACAAUGGGCAUAGCCCCAUGUCUGGAGUGGAGAUAUUUUGGCAAGACCCACAGAACUCUUUCUUCUCAGGUCUCACGGCCUCUGUUCGAGUUUUCCUUCAAGCUGGGGUAUGGCCGUCAAUGUGUACUCCACUUCUGUGACCAGUGAGAAUCUGAGUCGCCAUGAUAUGCUUGCGUGGGUCAAUGACUCUCUGCACCUCAAUUAUACCAAGAUCGAACAGCUCUGUUCAGGGGCAGCCUACUGCCAGUUCAUGGA
rnacentral:lncRNA from 1 species